GGCGCUUUUCUCUAAGUAGGGGUUUUGGAGUUUCUGUUCACCGUAGGCUUCUCUUUGUUGGGGUUUCGACCCCAUUCUCUCCUCAGUCGUCACAAAUGGCGGAUUCUCUCACGCAACAAGUAAUUAAUCGAUUGAAGAGACUGGAGAAGCAAUUCAACCGUAAUGUUCAGGAGAUUGUGUUUAUUCUGGUCAAUCACAAGAUUAUGUGUGAGACCCAGAAGCCAGAUGCUGCAGAGUGGGUCUCCAGCUUCUCCAGAUUCUGGCACUAAAGAUUCCAAAUGCCAAUAUCUCAUUGAACAGGACCUUUUAACUUGCAUAAUAUGGAGAAGCUGGAUUCUCAGAAUCUGAAUAGCAGAAGUUGGAGAAGCUCCCGUAAACACGCACCAUCUUCUCUGGAUUUUAGUCCUGAAGUGGGUAGGAAAAGAAAGAAAAUAAUGAAGAAGGAGAAACUACUGUGCAGAUUAUUUAAUACAACUAGCCAUUUGACGAGUUGCAUGGGCACUGGCAUAAUCUUAAAUGGUAGAGUGCUGGUUCACUUGGAGCUCUUGCAGGAUUUGCUAUUGCCAUAAUUUUUUCUUGGAUGUUGAGAUCUAAUGGUAGGCCACAAAGAAGCCAGCAGAAACAAACAAGUUCAGCGUCUACCAGUAGUAAUGGAGCAAAUGAAGAUGUUUCUUCGUAUGAAACUCGCCGGCUAGAACAGAAAUUGAAUUAUGUAGACUCAAUUGAUGAGUUACAGUCUCAAACAAGGUAACAUGUAAUUUGUUGCUUCAGUUGCUGGAUUCGAGUGCUUUACAAGAAUCAUAUGCUUUUUGUGGCUGACACUUGGACAAACAGUGAGGAAGGAAAGAAGGAUAAGGAAUCCAAGAUUCUUGGUGCAAAUAGGAACUGCCCCCCCAUAGGCCAAUCCCAUUAAUUACCAUCUCUACGAGUGGACUCCACUCACCUUUUAAGUGCAGAAAAAGAGGAAAAAAUUAAUGAACUCUCCAGUGGGCAUUGGUAGACCCAAUGUAGUUAAAGUGGAUACCGCAACUUGUUUUGACAUUGCUUUGUUUUGAGACCUUAUUACAAUGGAAGGGUAUUUCGGUCAUUCAUGAUUUUAUGAUGGGCGAGGAUAGCGGUGUCCAUUCUAGGUUUCGCCCCAGAAACUCGACCAUUUGAAGCUCUAAUCGGUUUGGCCUGAUCAAUAUAAAUAUUUUGGGAUCUAG